rnacentral:misc_RNA from 1 species
GUUUGUGAUGGUUAAAGGAGAGGAGAUAACACCAAGGGUUGCAAGAGCCAGCCAAGUGAGAGCCGACACCCUCUGGCUAUAUGAGAUUAAGAGGCCAAUUCGGGCUUUGCCUCUUUCCUAUUCUUCCUCUUCCAUUAUUCUCUCCUUGGGUGAAUGUUUUCUUGGUUCCCAUGCCUAUUCUUCACCAAACUUUAAUGGUUUUUUAGCUUUGAUCCUGUGUCGGGUGUGAGGCUUGGUAGUGAUGGUUUAUCUUCUUAGUCUACUGGAUUUGCCAGUUUUCACAUGCUCGAAAGACCUCCAUGGCUGGGAGCAACGCUAACUACUGUUGUUACUGGAUCCUCUAGUUUUGGGUUCCCUUAUGUCAAGCAGUCCCACUUUCUCGAUUCGAAAAAUACUUUGUUGGAAUUGGAUUGGAAUGCCAAGUCUUUGUGUUUUGGGCUCCGUCCCUUUUGCUGUUUGGGUAUGGGUCUGGCCUUCUG